rnacentral:rRNA from 1 species
ACUGGAGGCAGCAGUGAGGAAUAUUGGUCAAUGGACGAGAGUCUGAACCAGCCAAGUAGCGUGCAGGAUGACGGCCCUAUGGGUUGUAAACUGCUUUUGUACGGGAAUAAAGUGACCUACGUGUAGGUUUUUGCAUGUACCGUAAGAAUAAGGACCGGCUAAUUCCGUGCCAGCAGCCGCGGUAAUACGGAAGGUCCGGGCGUUAUCCGGAUUUAUUGGGUUUAAAGGGAGCGUAGGCCGUGCUUUAAGCGUGUUGUGAAAUGCAGGCGCCCAACGUCUGCACUGCAGCGCGAACUGGAGCACUUGAGUACGCAGGAAGUAGGCGGAAUUCGUCGUGUAGCGGUGAAAUGCUUAGAUAUGACGAAGAACUCCGAUUGGGAAGCCAGCUUACUGUAGCGCCACUGACGCUGAUGCUCGAAAGCGUGGGUAUCGAACAGGAUUAGAUACCCUGGUA